AUUUCUUGCCUGGUAUUUCCGACGUUUCCGAUUUUACUUUAGCUUUCGGCUGUGAAUCAGAUUGUUUUGUAAAAAGUGAAAAAAUGAGAAAAUCAGGGAAACAUUUGCACAGAGAAAAAUUUACCAAAAUCAACAGUCUCCAAAAUUUGGAACAAUUGAGAGAAAACUAAAACUGAGUUAAACUCAAAAAUUAGCAACAAACAAAUUGAAGACACCUAAAACUGAGUUAAACUCACAAAUUAGCAACAACAAAAUUGAGGACAGCCUUACAUCCACAUGCUUUCAAUGGUUUCAACAAAAGAGAGCCAUGUUAAAAUUUAGGGACGAAGUUUUUACUGGUGGAAAACUGUCGAAAAAUCACAUUACUGCUAUGGUUUGCACAAAUCUGAUUGGAACAUUUCAAACCCAAUAUGUUUCAAACACAUUGAGAACUUCCCAGUUGAUUACGAUUUUAAUAAAAAGGCAUGGAUGACUUCUUCUAUGUUCGAAAAGUAUCUGAGGAGAUGGAAUCUAAAACUAGUCAAACAAACGUGCAAAAUUUCAUUGCUGAUCGAUAAUUAUCCAAGUCAUCCCGAUAUUACGGUUUCUAGCAUAAAGUUGGCUUUUUUGCGUCCAAAUACAACAAUGCAACCAUGGAUCAAGAGUCUUUCAUAGCUUCAAAGUUAAUUAUAGAAAGACAUUGUUACUUAGAAUACUAGAUAUGCAAGAUACUUUAUUAGAUGGGGAAAAUUUCUUAAGCUUAACAUGACAUGACGUUUCAACUUUCGAAAUUGUUUCGCUCACGCCGGUUUAAUAACAAUUAUUCCAUCGGAUUCCGAUGAUGCAUCCCUUUCAAGGAAUUCCGAUAAUUCAUAUGGUUUGGCCAUGUUUGCACAUAUUGUAUCGAAGAUAAAUGAAAUUGAAAACGAUCUAGAAAUUCAAAUUUCAAAUAAGCAUUCAGUUCAAAUGAAAAAAGCA